CCCUAUUAUUAGGAGUAAAAAAACAGUUAGCGAGUAGGAUUAAUUACUGAAAACUAUCCAGAAUGGCGGUUUUUUUUAUUUUCAGGUAAAUGUGUUUUUGAAACGAAAUUACACGAAAAUCUUUCUUACUUUGGAAGCCCAUCUUGUACACCGCCGUCUGAAGGGUCAACUAAAAGAAUUAGCCCCUUUCCUAUUAAAGGAAUAAGUCAGGUAAGGUGCAGACUAUAGGUAAGAAGAAAUGCAUUUCCUUAAAAAUCGGAUGGUUGGUUGAAAUACUAAUUUGAAGUAGAAUUUGAAAGUAAGAAUUUUUUAUUAUAAUAUCCUGAAAUAAUACCAAAAAAAUGUACACAUCGCCCGUCGCU
rnacentral:rRNA from 1 species